UACGUAGGGGGCCAGCGUUGUUCGGAAUUACUGGGCGUAAAGGGUUCGUAGGCGGCGCGGCAAGUUGGGAGUGAAAUCUCUGGGCUUAACCCAGAGGCUGCUUCCAAAACUGCUGUGCUUGAGUGUGGGAGAGGCGCGUGGAAUUGCAGGUGUAGCGGUGAAAUGCGUAGAUAUCUGCAGGAACACCCGUGGCGAAAGCGGCGCGCUGGACCACUACUGACGCUGAGGAACGAAAGCUAGGGGAGCAAACAGG
rnacentral:rRNA from 1 species